rnacentral:rRNA from 14 species
GAGCCAUCCUUGAAAUACCACCCUUAUUCUUUUCGUUGUCUAACCGCGUCCCUGGAUGGGACCGGGACCCAGCCUGGCGGGCAGUUUGACUGGGGCGGUCGCCUCCUAAAGAGUAACGGAGGCGCGCGAUGGUAAGCUCAAGCCGGUCGGACAUCGGCUGUUGAGUGCAAUGGCAUAAGCUUGCCUGACUGUGAGGUCGACGGACCGAGCAGAGACGAAAGUCGGUCAUAGUGAUCCGGUGGUCCCGAGUGGAAGGGCCAUCGCUCAACGGAUAAAAGGUACGCCGGGGAUAACAGGCUGAUGACCCCCAAGAGUCCAUAUCGACGGGGUUGUUUGGCACCUCGAUGUCGGCUCAUCGCAUCCUGGGGCUGGAGCAGGUCCCAAGGGUUUGGCUGUUCGCCAAUUAAAGCGGUACGUGAGCUGGGUUUAGAACGUCGUGAGACAGUUCGGUCCCUAUCUGCCGUGGGUGUAGGAAUAUUGAGAGGAGCUGUCCUUAGUACGAGAGGACCGGGAUGGACAUACCUCUGGUGGACCUGUUGUUGCGCCAGCAGCAGUGCAGGGUAGCUAUGAUCGGACAGGAUAACCGCUGAAGGCAUCUAAGCGGGAAGCCCCCCUCAAAACAAGGUAUCCCUGAGGACCGUGGUAGACCACCACGUCGAUAGGCCGGAGAUGUAAGCGCAGCAAUGCGUUCAGUUGACCGGUACUAAUUG